CUUUUCGAGGUAGGAGUCGACUCCUGUGAGGUAUGGUGCUGGGUGCAGAUGCAGUGUGGCUCUGGAUAGCACCUUAUGGACAGUUGUGUCCCCAAGGAAGGAUGAGAAUAGCUACUGAAGUCCUAAAGAGCAAGCCUAACUCAAGCCAUUGGCACACAGGCAUUAGACAGAAAGCUGGAAGUUGAAAUGGUGGAGUCCAACUUGCCUGGACCAGCUUAAUGGUUCUGUCCUCAUUUGUAUUCCAGCUCCUGGUAACGUUUUUAUCCAUGGAUGACUUGCUUGGGUAAGGACAUGAAGACAGUUCCUGUCAUACCUUUUAAAGGUAUGGAGAGUCGGCUUGACUACACUGUGUGGAGCAAGUUUUAAAGAAGCAAAGGACUCAGAAUUCAUGAUUGAAGAAAUGCAGGCAGACCUGUUAUCCUAAACUAGGGUUUUUAAUGACCACAACAAGCAAGCAUGCAGCUUACUGCUUGAAAGGGUCUUGCCUCACCCAAGCUAGAGUGCAGUGGCCUUUGAAGCUUACUACAGCCUCAAACUUCUGGGCUCAAGUGAUCCUCAGCCUCCCAGUGGUCUUUGUAGACUGCCUGAUGGAGUCUCAUGGCACAAGAAGAUUAAAACAGUGUCUCCAAUUUUAAUAAAUUUUUGCAAUCCAUC
rnacentral:lncRNA from 1 species